CCUAGGGAGGCAGCAGUGGGGAAUAUUGGACAAUGGGCGAAAGCCUGAUCCAGCCAUGCCGCGUGUGUGAAGAAGGCCUUCGGGUUGUAAAGCACUUUCAGUGGGGAAGAAAGCCUUGGGGCUAAUACCCUCGAGGAAGGACAUCACCCACAGAAGAAGCACCGGCUAACUCCGUGCCAGCAGCCGCGGGAAUACGGAGGGUGCGAGCGUUAAUCGGAAUUACUGGGCGUAAAGCGCGCGUAGGCGGUCUGAUAAGCCGGUUGUGAAAGCCCCGGGCUCAACCUGGGAACGGCAUCCGGAACUGUCAGGCUAGAGUGCAGGAGAGGAAGGUAGAAUUCCCUGUGUAGCGGUGAAAUGCGUAGAGAUCGGGAGGAAUACCAGUGGCGAAGGCGGUCUUCUGGACUGACACUGACGCUGAGGUGCGAAAGCGUGGGUAGCAAACAGGAUUAGAUACCCUUGUAGUC
rnacentral:rRNA from 1 species